GCGAGUGAAAACUCCCUACAUCCUGCGAACUGACCACUGUUGCCCCGGCGGGUUCGCCCGCCGGAGCUUACAAACUCUUGCUGUAUUUUGUUUCUCUGAGCACUAAGAAAUCAGUUA
rnacentral:misc_RNA from 1 species